AUCUGGAGUUGUGGUUAGUGCGCUCGGCUAUGAAUCCGGGCGACGCGGGUUCGAUUCCCCCUACCAGAUG
rnacentral:tRNA from 1 species